AACGAACGCUGGCGGCAGGCUUAACACAUGCAAGUCGAACGCGUGUAGCAAUACACGAGUGGCGCACGGGUGAGUAACGCGUGGAUAUCUGCCUUUUGGUUCGGAAUAACUCCGGGAAACUGGAGCUAAUACCGAAUGGUUCCUACGGGAUAAAGAUUUAUCGCCAAAAAGAUGAGUCCGCGUACGAUUAGCUAGUUGGUGAGGUAAUGGCUCACCAAGGCGACGAUCGUUAGCUGGUCUGAGAGGACGAUCAGCCACACUGGGACUGAGACACGGCCCAGACUCCUACGGGAGGCAGCAGUGGGGAAUAUUGGACAAUGGGGGCAACCCUGAUCCAGCCAUGCCGCGUGAGUGAUGAAGGCCUUCGGGUUGUAAAGCUCUUUUGGCGGGGACGAUGAUGACGGUACCCGCAGAAUAAGCCCCGGCUAACUUCGUGCCAGCAGCCGCGGU
rnacentral:rRNA from 1 species